GACGACGCUGGCGGCGUGCCUAACACAUGCAAGUCGAGCGGGGUUGAGGCGAGAGGUAACUCGAGCUUCUACCUAGCGGCGGACGGGUGAGUAACGCGUGGGCAACCUGCCUCAAGGUUUGGGAUAACAGCCCGAAAGGGCUGCUAAUACCGGAUAUGCCUAUGGCCUCGCAUGGGGCUAUGAGCAAAGGGGAAACCCGCCUUGAGAUGGGCCCGCGUCCCAUCAGCUAGUUGGUGAGGUAACAGCUCACCAAGGCGACGACGGGUAGCCGGCCUGAGAGGGUGACCGGCCACACUGGGACUGAGACACGGCCCAGACUCCUACGGGGGGCAGCAGUGGGGGAUCUUGCACAAUGGGCGAAAGCCUGAUGCAGCGACGCCGCGUGAGCGAAGAAGGCCUUCGGGUUGUAAAGCUCUGUCUGGAGGGACGAACAAAAUGACGGUACCUCCGGAGGAAGCCACGGCUAACUACGUG
rnacentral:rRNA from 1 species